rfam:Acidomyces richmondensis BFW scaffold_237, whole genome shotgun sequence.
GGCCGUGUGGCCCAAUGGCAAGGCGCUUGACUACGAUGGGUAAUCAAGAGAUUCCAGGUUCGACCCCUGGCACGGUCA